AUGUUCACCUCUAUGGGGUCAACAGAAUGGCUGAGUAUUUCCUUCAGGACAGGCAGAUCAUCUCUGUAUAGCGUGGUCACUUCUCCCUCUUUAAACUUGGAAGAGAACCUGCACAUUAUGAUAGGGGAGGACAGUGAAAACCCUAAUCAGAAUCUUUGGCCCUCUCUGAACAGAAAACGUACCAAUAGCACUGAGACUGACCUUCCAGCUCGACCAGCUAUCUGCAGGGCUUGUGAUGUGCUGAUCGUCUCCAUGUGUUUCUCCCCCUUCUCAUUAAUAUUUGGUUUUACCAGACUGUUAAAAAUAAUACGUUUAAUACUCCUAUUAAGACCCAUUCCAAUAGCAUCGGUGGCAACCAUGAUCUUACAGGGGUCAUUAGGGUCAUUGAACUUUUUGGCUUGUGACAGUUUGGUACCUGUAAAUCACAAAAUUUCUAUCAUCUGUAAGCCAGGUUUGAAGGAUAUUUUGUUUCAUUAUCUAUACUAGUUCUCAUAAUUGAUUAGCUCCUUCACAUUGAACCCACCUGGAGGUAAACUGCCAUAAAUGACAGCACACUCAAGUCCUCUGAUUUCAAUCUGCCUACUAAUGGAGUAGAUGUCAUUUUUACUAAAACACACGAUGCAGUCGCCUGGUCUGAGUUUGUCUAAUGACUCCACAGCCUGGUCCAAGACAGUGAAUGGAGUUAGUCGCUUAUAGGUGUGGACCUAAAGAAGAGACAAAACCAGAAAAAAGAAACGGCGAAUAAAUAACAGCAGCAAAGCACUUGUCAACCUACCUCACAAGGUGCCCCAGCCUCACCUCCACCUCCUCUCCAGUGGUGUACAUUAGCUCUCUGACAAAAUCUACAGCAGCACUUUCACCACACACGUGGAUUUCCUCAGCACACAAACCUAGGUGGAAACAAACGCAGACACAUUAGUUGAUUUUUUUGUUCAUAUUACCAGUACUUAAAAAAAAAAGUUCUGCGUGUGUCACAAACCGAGCAGUGCUCUUGUCCAGGCCCAGCCUCUGGAGGGAUCUCUGAUCAUUUGAAUUUCGUCAAUAACUGCCACCUCAUCUACAAAAAGACAAGAAAAUGUUUCCAAUUUAAAUUUGGGGAAGAGAAACUCUGAAGAAGAAAUUUGCAAGUAGAGGUUAAAUGUUCUUUCUAUUAUGCCAAGUAGAGUUUAAAUGUUCUUUUCUAUUUUGCCAAAAAUGCCUAUGUGGAAACACGUACAUUGAUGCAGUCUGAUUAAGGUUUUUGCUACAAUCCACAUAAACAGAAAUAAGCUCACAGGUUUUCAUUACUUACAAGGUGUGGUGACGCUGCACAUCUCUAUGGUGCAGGCCACAUGAGCAGCUGCCUGGCCCUCUGGUUCCAUGAAGAUCCUCUCCUCUCCAGUAACCAAGUCACACAUCACCCCCUGCAACGAAUAAAACAUUGACCCUGUUUCCAAAUGCAUUCCUUCAUGUUAAAACACAUCAACCAGUCUACAAAUGUAUCUCUCGAUUCAGGUGGGGGAAAAAAAAUCCUGAACUGAGGUUGAGGGUGGAGAUCUAAACACAUACAGCAGUGUUGCUUUUCUCAAAGAUCUCAUGGGCCAGUAACUUCAGGGGGCCACAGUAGACUCCAGACUUAGCAGCCAGGUAGCGCUGGAUGGCUUGGUACGUUUUACCACUGUUUGUUGGACCUGCAUGGAAAAUCACCUUCCGCUGAAUGGCACGUGCCUCUGGGUACCUGAUGAAUGAAAACCAAAACAUACACGCACACCACUGUCUUUUACAUAAAUAAGAAUUUCACUCGCAACAUAUAUUACAUCACAUUAAUCUGGUUGUGUAACUGUGCGGCCCUGUUUUUUUAAAAUACAGUCAUUCAUGCAGAUAAUUAACUACAACAUGAACUUUAGUUUCUCUGUAAAAGAAACCAUACCAGUAUGCUGGCAGUCUGAGGUCUGAGAUCUUUCUUAGGUCAUCCAGACAGUCCAGCAUAGGAAAGAUUUGCUUGGCAUGACGCAUAAAGUAUGGGUAGAUAUCAUCUAUGUGACCAGCUCCACAGCAGAUGUCAUUGAUGAUGAUGUGUAGGUCAGCAGGCAGAUAUGUCAUUUCCAGGACAUAUUUCCUGAAGCUAAUGAAGGCCUGAUGGAACAAGCGAGCUAUAAACAUACAGAAAAAAGGAAAGAUUUCGUUUCUGCCUUUUUUGUUCCCUCUGACAUACAUUUCCAAGAUUAUACAGGAGAUGUAAAUUCCUCACCAUCUAAACCAUGUUCUGAUGCCAGCUUCUGCAUCUCCUUCCUCUUAUAAAACCGGUUCAACGCUUUUAGCACUUCACCUACAUCAUUAGCACCAGAAAGUUAUGUUAUGACCAAAAUAAUAUGUCAGGUUUAACAUUUAGCAUAGCUAAAACAUUAAAAUAAAUCGCACGUGUUAAUCUACUCACUUUUAUCAAGCGGCUUGCUCAGCUCGGAUCCCACAUUCCCGUCUACGGGAGAAUCGGGCUUUAAGGACACGGGUACAAAAAGGGAGGUGUCCGGGGGUUUUGGAGGUGAACUAUUAGAUGAAGCGUUUCUCCAGAAGGCAUUAUAGUGUUGUUUGUGUACGGACACAGAUCCAGGAGACACAUGACAACUUCCAGCGCUUGUGCGUGCUGCUCGAGCGCUAAUGUGGUGCUGAAGCCGCGAAAAUAAGUGAAUACACCGAUUUAGUGACAUCGUUGAUAUACUACUGACAAAAGAAGCCCCUAAGCUCGUUUGUGCUCCAUGUUGUUAAGUAACAUUUGGAUAAUAAAAAGAAUCCACACUCCACACGCAGAGGACGGUCACCACCUCUUCCUGAUACGCAACGUGGGACAGAACCAAUCAGUGUAGCUGGCCGCAAAUAUGCCUGUGUCGCUUGUAACAAUAAAUUGAUUUGUUCCCAAUAUUUUAAAAGUGUUUCUUUAAAGAAAAAAUAGUUAUACAUA
ensembl:lncRNA